CCUACGGGGGGCAGCAGUGAGGAAUAUUGGUCAAUGGGCGGAAGCCUGAACCAGCCAAGUCGCGUGAGGGACUAAGGCCCUGCGGGUCGUAAACCUCUUUUGCCGGGGAGCAGUGGUCCGGACGCGUCCGGACCGGGAGAGUACCCGGAGAAAAAGCAUCGGCUAACUCCGUGCCAGCAGCCGCGGUAAUACGGAGGAUGCGAGCGUUAUCCGGAUUUAUUGGGUUUAAAGGGUGCGUAGGCGGGCAUUUAAGCCGGCGGUCAAAUGUCGGGGCUCAACCCCGGCCUGCCGUCGGAACUGGGUGC
rnacentral:rRNA from 1 species